AAAUUGUAAUUUGAUCAACACUCUUUCCAAAUUUAACACUUACCAUUGACCGUCACCAAAGAGAGAGAUUAAGGAGAUUGACAUAGUACAAUAGCAACAAAGAUUAAAAUAUAUAAGGCCAACUAUGCUUUUAUAACUCCAAGGUCAAUUAAUUAGAUAAUUUGUUCUAAUAAUGACAGUGGAUUAAAUAUAAAAUUAACAAAAUCUGCAAAAGCAAUAAAAUGUAUAAAAAAACUUAAUGCAGUUAAGAGAUACCAAUAGCAAGAAUACCAGGAUAAUCUGCAUAUGAACAACCAAGACUGUAACAGUAGGAAUUAAGCUUUGUUGUAGAAUAGGAAGUUGUAUAGGAAUUAAAUACUUAAUUUUAGGGAUAGAUAUUAGCUUCCUAAUUAGAUUAGCUUGAUUUGUAUAUAAAUAUGUAUUUUUCUUUUGAAACAAAUCAAGA
rnacentral:misc_RNA from 1 species